CGAAUUUUGAAUCCAUAUGUACUGUCUGUAUUUUAGAUUUGGUCUCUCGUAAAGAAUGAACCAUUCACAUUUUGUUUAAUAGUAAAAAGUGCUGCUGUCGUAUACAUUUUUUUCCCACACUGCACUUGGUCAUAUUAAUUUAAUGUCCAAAAAUGUCCAGAAGCAACCACUCAAUAUUACUGAAGUUCAUUGAAGGUCAUUCAACUUGCCAUAUCAACUCAACUUUAUAUCCGAAUAUUCAACUGCUUAUUACUUUAGUUAAGUUUCAAAAGGCGACUGUCUGUAUUUUAAAGGGAAAGGAGGCAAGUUAAGUGAUCUUAGUAGAGCUAUGUCUUGUAUUCGACUUUUAGCGGCGUUUAUGUGUAUUUUGUUGAUGACGUUACUCGCUGGUGACUGAGAAUUGCUCAUUGUCACGAUAUAUCCUGAAAAGUAAUCAAGUGUGAAAAAGAAAGAGCCCGAACGAAAACAGUAAACUGUGAUAGACUUUCGUUGUUGUAGGGGUUUCUGUAAUAUUUGCGAGGAGGCCUGUAUGGAAGCUGUUUUUACAGCUCUCCUGAGCAGGGUGGGGUUAGGGACAGCACGGAGAACUAGGCAGGAUCUGUCAAGGAUUGACAUAGCUGAUAGUCAUUUGGUGUUUAAAUACUUGCACCAUAAAGUUGUAUUCGUAAUCAAAGAUGAAAAACUGACAAGAAAUACCAAGUAAUCAAGUAAUUAGCAUACAGGCGACUUUUCGAAUCCUUUCUCUUACACUACUGAUCACGUGUACAAGCCAGAUUAAUAUUAUGAGGUCACGAGUCAGAGCGCUGAUUUUUCAUGGAAUGAGGGAAAAACAACUAUUUAAUUAUUUGUAAUCCAACUUUUGGUUUCGCUUUCAGUCAUUUUUCAUACACGGUUAGCAAGUCUUCUGAGAUCAUCUGAAUCAUAGUUUUCUGUCUGAUAAGCUGAGGUGAAGGUCUGAGCUGAGGCUAGCAAGGCUUCAAGACCAUCUGAAUCAUAGUUUCUGUCUAAUAAGCUGAAGUUAAGGUCUGAGCUGAGGCUACCGAGUCAUCUGAAUCAUAAUUUUCUGUCUGAUUAGCCGAGGCGAAGGUCUGAGGCUACCGAGCCAUCUGAAUCAUAGUUUUCCGCCUGAUCAGUUGAGGUGAAGGUCUGAGGCUAGCAAGUCAUCUGAGACCAAUCAGCUGAGGUGAAGGUCUGAGCUGAGGCUAGCAAGUCAUCUGCGGCCAUCUGAAGCAUAGUUUUCUGUCUGAUCAGCUGAAAUGAAGAUUUGAGCUGAGGUACGUAUUCGAUACAUAAUAGACGCAUAAUGUUUGUCGACGCAUUUUGAAUCCAUACUCAUUGUCUGUAUUUUAGAUCUGGUUUCUCGUGGGAAAUGAAGUAUUUAAAUUGUGCUUAAUAUUUGAAAAUGCUGUUGUUGUAUGUGUUUUUUCUCAACGUUACUCAGUCUUAUGCAUAAGAUAUCCAGAAAUUGUGACACUGAUCACUUGAUAUCGCUGAAGUUUAUUGAAGGUCAUUCAACUUCCCGUAUCAAACGUGCUUUCCGGCCUCAACUUUAUA